CUCCGCCUGAGAUCCGCAUUCCCGAUGGCGUGGAAGUGUUGUACUUCAAGCUGAACCAGGAGCAGCUCAACACGAGAGUCAAGCGAGCCAUCCUGCACGUGUGGCUAAAACCCAUCACGUCGGAGUUAGAUCGCAUCGUGCCAAUUUCAGUGUUCAAGGUGACAAGGCCUGAAGACCCAGAGGAUUACAUCAUACUCCAUGAGGUGACGACGGUCUCCGAAUCCGUUGAUGCCCGGGAUGGGAACUGGGUGAAGAUUGGCGUUUAUAAACUACUACAAGAAUGGCUGAACAAUCCCUCAGACAACCUCGGGCUGGUAGUCACUGCAAAUGACUCCGAAGGCCGACGGGUAGCAGUCACGAAUCCCGUGGAGAAUCCCUCUAAUGCGCCGUUGCU